UACGUAGGGGGCAAGCGUUGUCCGGAAUCAUUGGGCGUAAAGCGCGCGUAGGCGGCCAACUAAGUCGGAUGUGAAAUCCCCAGGCUUAACUUGGGAACUGCAUCCGAUACUGGAUGGCUUGAAUCCGGGAGAGGGAUGCGGAAUUCCAGGUGUAGCGGUGAAAUGCGUAGAUAUCUGGAGGAACACCGGUGGCGAAGGCGGCAUCCUGGACCGGCAUUGACGCUGAUGAGCGAAAGCCAGGGGAGCAAACGGG
rnacentral:rRNA from 1 species